CGGUCGCAAGAUUAAAACUCAAAGGAAUUGACGGGGGCCCGCACAAGCGGUGGAGCAUGUGGUUUAAUUCGACGCAACGCGAAGAACCUUACCUGGCCUUGACAUGCAGAGAACUUUCCAGAGAUGGAUUGGUGCCUUCGGGAACUCUGACACAGGUGCUGCAUGGCCGUCGUCAGCUCGUGUCGUGAGAUGUUGGGUUAAGUCCCGUAACGAGCGCAACCCCUAUCCCUAGUUGCUAGCAGUUCGGCUGAGAACUCUAGGGAGACUGCCGGUGACAAACCGGAGGAAGGUGGGGAUGACGUCAGGUCAUCAUGGCCCUUACGGCCAGGGCUACACACGUGCUACAAUGGUGCGCACAGAGGGCUGCAAACCCGCGAGGGGGAGCCAAUCUCACAAAACGCAUCGUAGUCCGGAUCGCAGUCUGCAACUCGACUGCGUGAAGUCGGAAUCGCUAGUAAU
rnacentral:rRNA from 1 species